rnacentral:rRNA from 1 species
UGGGGAAUAUUGCACAAUGGGCGCAAGCCUGAUGCAGCCAUGCCGCGUGUGUGAAGAAGGCCUUCGGGUUGUAAAGCACUUUCAGCGAGGUGAGGAGUGGUGAGCCUAAUACGCUCAUCAAUUGACGUUACUCGCAGAAGAAGCACCGGCUAACUCCGUGCCAGCAGCCGCGGUAAUACGGAGGGUGCAAGCGUUAAUCGGAAUUACUGGGCGUAAAGCGCACGCAGGCGGUUUGUUAAGUCAGAUGUGAAAUCCCCGGGCUCAACCUGGGAACUGCAUUGAACUGGCAAGCUAGAGUCUCGUAGAGGGGGGUAGAAUUCCAGGUGGUAGCGGUGAAAUGCGUUAGAGAUCUGGAGGAAUACCGGUGGCGAAGGCGGCCCCCUGGCACGAAGACUGACGCUCAGGUGCGAAAGCGUGGGAGCAAACA